GUCCUUCUGUGGUUCAUAUGCAUGAUGAUUGGGUUUACACGUGGCUAUGUAAUAUGUGCCUCCCUCCAACCUUGUUACAACAUUGGCACAUUACCUGUCUGAUG